rnacentral:rRNA from 1 species
UACGUAGGGGGCAAGCGUUGUCCGGAUUUAUUGGGCGUAAAGAGCUCGUAGGUGGUUCGGUAAGUCGGAUGUGAAAUCUCCAGGCUCAACCUGGAGGGGUCAUUCGAUACUGCCGUGACUAGAGGUCGGUAGGGGAGUGUGGAAUUCCUGGUGUAGCGGUGAAAUGCGCAGAUAUCGGGAGGAACACCAAUGGCGAAGGCAGCUCGCUGGGACGGUACUGACGCUGAGACGCGAAAGCGUGGGGAGCAAACAGG